CCCUUAGAUGUUCUGGGCCGCACGCGCGCUACACUGAUGCGUUCAACAAGUUUCCUUGGCCGAGAGGCCUGGGCAAUCUUCUUAAUAUGUAUCGUGGUAGGGAUAGAUUAUUGCAAUUAUUAAUCUUGAACGAGGAAUUCCUAGUAAACGCAGAUCAUCAAUCUGCAUUGAUUACGUCCCUGCCCUUUGUACACACCGCCCGUCGCACCUACCGAUUGGAUGUUCCGGUGAAGCCUCGGGAUGAGGACUGGUGCCUUUAUUGGCAUGAGUUGUUCAGAACUUGUCUAAACCUUAUCAUCUAGAGGAAGGUGAAGUCGUAACA
rnacentral:rRNA from 1 species